ACUGCCCCUCAUGGUGUUGCAGGUGUGUCUGCUGUGUCACAUGUGUGUCAGUGGGUGGCAGAGAGGUGAGAGGCCAUGUCCACCCUGACCUGGGAACAUCUGAAUGUUUAGUGACCUAACACU
rnacentral:snoRNA from 1 species